CCAGGGAAGCUCCGUCGCUGCCCCCUGCCCGCUGCCAGGCGUCCUGUGCCGUCUCCUCAGCCACCCCCAUGGCCUCGCAGCACUCCCGCAGCUGCUCCCACUGCACGCUGUCGCCGAUUCGUAGCUGAUGCAGGGCAAAGUAUAUGGUUGCGAUGGCGAGGGCACACCUGACGGUGGAGCACUCGCAGCACGCCAGGUGAGAUGCCGCUCUCUGUCUCCGGGAUGGGGAAUUCCAGGCGGUCCUUCACGGGGGGCACGCUGCCUUGGGUCAUGGCUCUGCGACACCCAGCACAUUAAUGUAUUAUUAGGCGCAGGACCAGGCCAGGAGGUCCCGGGGCUGGGUACGGAUGGCGGCCUUGGUGUACUCCCUCAGGAUGCUAGGCAGGGGCGCCGGCACCCUCGUGUCCACCACUCCCUCCGCCACCACCACCAUCCUGAGCAGUGAGGCGAUCCUUGUACUUUAGCAAUGAAAGUUUCACUUGGACUGGUGAAGCUUCGGAUCAUUUGCUUGAUCACAAAUUGGGGUCUACGUGGCAAGCUGACAGCAGUGCGUGUCCGAGCGUCGCUGAGAAUGGAGGGAGUGCUGCUCGCCGCCGGCACCACCCACCGGCAACCCGAGGCGUGAGCAAGACCAACCUGAGAACUUCCGUGACUUCCUUGCUGCUCUUUGCGGCCAGGUGUGUCAUGCGUGCAGGAAAGACAUCUUGAGGAGGAUGACAUUGUGGGCAGACACAUCCUUGACAUCUGAAGACACAAGAUGACCGACUGGUAACGAUGCAGAGAAGGGAAGUAGUGUGGGCAGACACACACCACCUGAAAACACAAGAUAAGCUUUGAAGAGCUUUGAUGAAAGAGUGGGGAACCACAACAGUCUGUGUUUUAUAGAAAGGGGUUGUCAGCAAGUGAACGAGGACGCAACACCAUCUUGUCUGCAUCUGCCAAUAGCAGCAGCAGUGGCAGAAGAACAGUUUCUGAAGACAAACAGCAGCAGAGCAGCAGAGCCUUUCAUGGAACAAAUGGUGGCCUGCAGUGGUGCCCAGCAAAGUUUCUGAUGGACCUGCCCACUGCAUGCUGAAAUGACACUUUGAAGUUGACCAGGAAUCCCAAUUCCCAGCAGGACUGGUGCCUGGCUGCCUCAGUCCACACUACCACCACACCAGCAGAGUUCCUUCCUCAUUGUGCCUCCUCUUCACCCAGGACUGGUGCCUGGCUGCCUCAGUCCACACUACCACCACACCAAUGUCACCUGUAAAAGAAAAAAGCGGAAACUCAUCCUAUAACAAAUGCACAUCACAUGUCAGCAGUUUACAAGUUUCCCUCAAUAAAGCAAUCAAUGUCUGAAA